rnacentral:lncRNA from 1 species
UAUAAUUAGUAUAUUUUAUAAAUAUUUGGAAAAUCAUCUCGAAAAGAUUUUAUUUUAAAUAUUCUAUUAAAAGUAGUUUAGUUAUAUAAUAGUUUAUAUUUCAAAAUCAUUUAGUUUAUAAUUAAAUUGAUUAUUUUAUUUCGCUAAGAUUAAGAAGUUCGUUAAUUAAGUAAUAUUAAUUUAUCUUAUUUGAGUUUUAGCUAAUUUUAUUAAUAAAUUCGAAAUGGCUUAAUUCAAUUGGCUAUAAUCUAAACCCAUUUAACCAUUCCUAAUCUAACCCUUUCCCCUUAAACCCAGCAACCCAAAUAAUUCCCAAAUUUAUGCAAACCCAAUUUAAUUAACCCCUGGCCCACCAAUUCUCCCAAAUCCAAACUAACAACUUACGUACAGCAGUACUAAUCGACAACCCAACCCAUUCUCAUUCUCAUUCCUCCUAU